rnacentral:Y_RNA from 1 species
GGCUGCUCCGAGUGCAGUGGUGUUUACAACUAAUUGAUCACAACCAGUUACAGAUUUCUUUGUUCCUUCUCCACUCCCACUGCUUCACUUGACUAGUCUUAA